AGGCCACUGCUAUCGGAGUUCGAUUAAGCCAUGCGAGUCGAGAGGUGCAAGACCUCGGCAUACUGCUCAGUAACACGUGGACAACCUACCCUAAGGAGGGGGAUAACCCCGGGAAACUGGGGAUAAUACCCCAUAGACUAUGGAAGCUGGAAUGCUCUGUAGCCGAAAGGUCAGCCGCCUUAGGAUGGGUCUGCGGCCGAUUAGGUUGUUGUUGGGGUAACGGCCCAACAAGCCUGUAAUCGGUACGGGUUGUGGGAGCAAGAGCCCGGAGAUGGAUUCUGAGACACGAAUCCAGGCCCUACGGGGCGCAGCAGGCGCGAAAACUUUACAAUGCGAGCAAUCGUGAUAAGGGAACUCCGAGUGCCUGUAAAAUCAGGCUGUCCGCCAGUGUAAAUAACUGGUGAAGAAAGGGCCGGGCAAGACCGGUGCCAGCCGCCGCGGUAAUACCGGCGGCUCGAGUGGUGGCCACUAUUACUGGGCUUAAAGCGUUCGUAGCUGGUCUGUUAAGUCUCUGGGGAAAUCUUCCGGCUUAACCGGAAGGCGUCUCAGGGAUACUGGCAGACUAGGGACCGGAAGAGGUGAGAGGUACUUCAGGGGUAGGAGUGAAAUCCUGUAAUCCUUGAGGGACCACCUGUGGCGAAGGCGUCUCACCAGGACGGCUCCGACAGUGAGGAACGAAAGCUGGGGGAGCAAACCGGAUUAGAUACCCGGGUAGUCCCAGCUGUAAACGAUGCACGUUAGGUGUAUCGGUGACCACGAGUCACCGAGGUGCCGAAGAGAAAUCGUGAAACGUGCCGCCUGGGAAGUACGGUCGCAAGGCUGAAACUUAA
rnacentral:rRNA from 1 species